UUUGAAUACCUCACUCCUUCUCAAAUGCUCUCGAAAGUUCCUGAAAGCCUAAUCCCGUCCACCAUCUUCAACCUCCGACUCGCUGGAAUCCAUGGCUUCUAAGUCCAUGGACGACCUAUACUCACCUUCUAUUACCCGCAUGUGCCUGAUAUUUGAAGGUUCGAGGUCAUACUUCGAAGGCCUUCACCCAGACUUUUGCCGAUUCAAGGUUCCGACCAUCUCCGGCCCUACUUCGGCAUAUCCUAGCCUCCUGAGUCUUAUUCCGACCUUAUCCGAAUU
rnacentral:lncRNA from 1 species